rnacentral:misc_RNA from 1 species
CGGGCCUUGCCCUUUGGGAAUUACCCAAAGGGGCCCCAAUUUGCCUUUCAAAAGUUUUCGGUGAUUUCCACGAAAAAUUUUGCAAUUUUCAUUAUUAACUUAAUCCGCAUUUCCGGUGCUUUUUUUAAUCGGUGCAGAACCCCAAAGUUCCGUUGUUGAAAGUUUUGAAGAUUUUUGAUUUUUAUCAACAAAAGUGACAUAAAAUUUAAAAAUAAACAUUCCAAUUAUAGAUAUUGAAGUUUGAUAAAACCUUUGGCCCCACCUAAUUCUUAGCCAGACCAAAGCCAUAGUUUCAAAUUAAAAAAAAAAUAGUGUGUAAGGUUUUUCGCCGCGCACUUUAGCGCUGGCAAGAGAUUACUGUAGUGUUCCUUCUUUCCGUAAGGGGGACCUGCGGAAGGAUCAUUACAGUAUUCUUUUGCCAGCGCUUAAUUGCGCGGCGAAAAACCUUACACACUAUGUUUUUUUAAUUUGAAACUAUUGCUUUGGUCUGGCUUAGAAAUAGGUUGGGCCAAAGGUUUUAUCAAAACUUCAAUAUUUAUUAUUGAAUUGUUAUUUUUAAUUUUAUGUCAAUUUGUUGAUUAAUAUCAAAAAUCUUCAAAACUUUCAACAACGGAUCUCUUGGUUCUCGCAUCGAUGAAGAACGCAGCGAAAUGCGAUAAGUAAUAUGAAUUGCAGAUUUUCGUGAAUCAUCGAAUCUUUGAACGCACAUUGCGCCCUUUGGUAUUCCAAAGGGCAUGCCUGUUUGAGCGUCAUUUCUCUCUCAAAUCUUCGGAUUUGGUUUUGAGUGAUACUCUUAGUCAGACUAAGCGUUUGCUUGAAAUGUAUUGGCAUGAGUGGUACUAGAUAGUGCUGAACUGUUUUCAAUGUAUUAGGUUUAUCCAACUCAUUGACCAGUAAAGUAUUUGUUUAUUACACAGGCUCGGCCUUACAACAACAAACAAAGUUGACCUCAAAUCAGGUAGAUAACCCAGUUC